rnacentral:rRNA from 1 species
AUUGAACGCUGGCGGCAGGCCUAACACAUGCAAGUCGAACGAGUGGCGGACGGGUGAGUAAUGUCUGGGAAACUGCCCGAUGGAGGGGGAUAACUACUGGAAACGGUAGCUAAUACCGCAUACCAUCGGAUGUGCCCAGAUGGGAUUAGCUAGUAGGUGGGGUAACGGCUCACCUAGGCGACGAUCCCUAGCUGGUCUGAGAGGAUGACCAGCCCGACUGGAACUUAGACACGGUCCAAACCCCUACGUGAGGCAGCAGUGGGGAAUAUUGCACAAGUGGCGCAAGCCUGAUGCAGCCAUGCCGCAGGUAUGAAGAAGGCCUUCGGGUUGUAAAGUACUUUCAGCGAUGAGGCGUUACUCGCAGAAGAAGCACCGGCUAACUCCGUGCCAGCCGCGUAAUUC